GGGCGAAUAGCUCAGCUGGUUAGAGCGUCUGCCUUACAAGCAGAAGGUCACAGGUUCGACUCCUGUUUCGCCCACCA
rnacentral:tRNA from 1 species